AGAUAAUUGUUAAUUCAAUUUAAUUUGAAUGAUAUAAAUUAUUAAAAGUUUUUAAAUAAAAUAUUAUUUUGUUUUAUUAAAUUUAUUGAAAAAAUUUAUUUAAUUAUAGGAAAUUAGUAUAGUAAUAGAAUUUUUAUUUAUAUAAUAAAGAAUAAUUGAUUUUUAGUACCUUGUGUAUCAGGGUUUAUUAAUUAAAUAUUUUAAAUUAAGAUUUUCUCGAUUUUAAAAGUGUGAAUUAUUUAUAAAUUUUAUUGUAAAAUAAAUAUUUAAAAUAAAUAAUUGGUAAUGAAAUGUUAUUCGUUUUUGAAUAUAUCUAGUUUUUAAAGAAAAAAAUUUAAUUUUAUUUAUACAGAAAUUUUAUAUUUAUUUAAAUAUGCAUAAAUUUUGUUUAAAUUAUAUUAUUAGGGAUAAGCUUGAUAAUAAAUUUUUAUAAAUUUAUAAUUAUUAUUAUUAUAGAAGAAUUGUAGAAUUAGAAAUUUUCAUCAAAUAAUUUGUUAUAAUUAAUUUUUUUAUAAAAAAAAAAUUUUUAUAAAUUUUAAAUUGAUUAUUUAAAAAUUAAAUUUAAUUAUUAAUUUUAAGUUAUAAUGAUAAAAUUAGUAUAAUUUUAUGUUAAUUUUUUUAAAAAAUUAAUGUUAUAAAAAGGAAUUCGGCAAUAAUAUUUUUCGCCUGUUUAUUAAAAACAUGUCUUUUUGAUUAUAAUUUAAAGUCUAACCUGCCCAAUGAGUAAUUGAAUGGCCGCAGUAUUUUGACUGUGCAAAGGUAGCAUAAUCAUUAGUUUUUUAAUUAAAAGCUGGAAUGAAGGGUUGAACGAAAAAAUAACUGUCUCUUUAUAAAUUUAUUAGAAUUUUAUAUUUAAGUUAAAAAGCUUAAAUAAAUUUAAAAGACGAGAAGACCCUAUAGAGUUUUAUAUAAUUUUAUAAUAAAUAAUUUUUGUAACUUUAAGUUUUUUUUUAUUUAAUUGUAUUUGAUUGGGGUGAUUAAAAAAUUUAAUAAACUUUUUAUUUUUUUUUUAGAACAUUAAUUUAUGAAUUUAUGAUCCAUUAAUUAUGAUUAAAAGAUUAAAUUACCUUAGGGAUAACAGCGUAAUUUUUCUUUAGAGUUCUAAUCGAUGGAAAAGUUUGCGACCUCGAUGUUGGAUUAAAAUAUAAUUUUGGUGUAGAAGCUAAAUAUUUAGGUCUGUUCGACCUUUAAAAUUUUACAUGAUCUGAGUUUAAACCGGUGUGAGCCAGGUUGGUUUCUAUCUUUAAAUUAAUAUAAUAUUUUAGUACGAAAGGACCAAAUAUUAAUAAAAUUUUUUUUAUAAUGAUUAUUAUUAAUGUAUAAAUUAUUUUGGCAGAUUAGUGCAUUAAAUUUAGAAUUUAAU
rnacentral:rRNA from 1 species